GAAAUGCGAUAAGUAAUGUGAAUUGCAGAAUUCAGUGAAUCAUCGAAUCUUUGAACGCACCUUGCGCCCUUUGGCUAUUCCGAAGGGCAUGCCUGUUUGAGUAUCAUGAACACCUCAACUCUCAUGGUUUGCCAUGAUGAGUUUGGACUUUGGGGGUCUUGCUGGCCUACGGUCAGCUCCUCUCAAAUCGAUCAGCUUGCCAGUGUUUGGUGGCAUCACAGGUGUGAUAACUAUCUACGCUUGUGGUUUUCUACCAAGUAACCUUCAGUGAUGGAGGUUCGCUGGAGCUCAUAAACGUCUCUCCUCAGUGAAGACAGCUUUUUGAACGUUUGAUCUCAAAUCAGGUAGGACUACCCGCUGAACUUAA
rnacentral:misc_RNA from 1 species